UAGGUUGAGGAGGCAGUGACUAUGGCGGUGGAGGAGGAUGAGGUAGCCAACACUAUUAUAUAUAUAUAUAUAUAUAUAUAUAUAUAUAUAUAUUUUUUAUUGGGGUAGCCCCCAAAAAUAUUGGGACAUAUAAAAAAAAGACAACUCUGUUCCGCAGAGUAGCUGUUGACAUUAUAGUUGCGCAGGAACUUUGCCAGUUUCUGCGUCUACCAUGGUGACCACGGGUAACGGGGAAUCAGGGUUCCAUUCCUUACAGGGACGCUGAGAAACGGCUACCACAUGCAAGGAAGGCAGCAGGCGCGCAAAUGACCCACUCCCGACGCGGGAAGGUAGUGAAGACAAAUAACAAUACAGGACUCGUUAGAGGCCCUGUAAUUGUAAUGAGUCCACUUGAAAUCCUUUAACUCUGAUCAAUUGGAGGGAAGUCUGGUGCAGAGCCACUGACCCGUGCGUGCUGCAGCUGAAACUCCACU